UUGUUCCCUCAAUUUAUUGUACUACAAAUGUGUUGGUUUUCUCUUUCAGAAAAUUCCUUCCAACCCACUGAUCAAUAAUGUGUUCAGAGACUUAGUCAUCCAGUAUUUCACUUCAAAGGAAGGUACCUGCAUUCCAUCUGGAAAUUCUGAGGCAUGUUCACAACAAUUAUGAGGACGCAUUCAUUUCAGAUUUCUCUCUUUCCCAACUUUCUUAUCAUUUCCUGACAACUGGUCCAUCAUUUGAAACUGCAGCUGCUGCAGUCUGCUCAGUUUGACCAACAUUGCAAUCACUGAGAAGACUCCUUAAAUCAUAAAUGGAUGAAUCACACUCAAGACAUUCUGAUUUCUAUGUUCAGAGUGGGGUAAAAUAAUUUGCAUCUGUAAAGAAUAAAACAGG
rnacentral:lncRNA from 1 species